UACGUAGGGUGCGAGCGUUGUCCGGAAUUAUUGGGCGUAAAGGGCUCGUAGGCGGUUUGUCGCGUCGGGAGUGAAAUCCACUGGCUUAACUGGGGGCGUGCGGGCGAUACGGGCAGACUGGAGUACUGCAGGGGAGACUGGAAUUCCUGGUGUAGCGGUGGAAUGCGCAGAUAUCAGGAGGAACACCGGUGGCGAAGGCGGGUCUCUGGGCAGUAACUGACGCUGAGGAGCGAAGGCGUGGGGAGCGAACAGG
rnacentral:rRNA from 1 species